rnacentral:rRNA from 1 species
AAGGCCUUAGGGUUGUAAAGCAUCGAAGGGGGAGGAAAGGUUGCAGGCUAAUACCUUGUAAUUGUGACGUUACCCAUACAAGAAGCACCGGCUAACUCCGUGCCAGCAGCCGCGGUAAUACGGAGGGUGCAAGCGUUAAUCGGAAUUACUGGGCGUAAAGCGCGCGUAGGCGGAUUUGUCAGUCAGAUGUGAAAGCCCUGGGCUCAACCUAGGAAUUGCAUUUGAUACUGCAGGUCUAGAGUAUGGUAGAGGUGAGUGGAAUUCCAGGUGUAGCGGUGAAAUGCGUAGAUAUCCGGAGGAACAUCAUUGGCGAAGGCGACUCACUGGAUCAAUACU